GACGAACGCUGGCGGCGUGCCUAAUACAUGCAAGUCGAACGCAGUUGCGAACGGGUGAGUAACGCGUAGGUAACUGCCUGGUAGCGGGGGAUUACUAUUGGAAACGAUAGCUAAUACCGCAUACUUCCAGAUGGACCUGCGUUGUAUUAGCUAGGUGGUGGGGUAACGGGUCACCAAGGCAAAGAUACAUAGCCGACCUGGGGGGGGGGUUGGCCAACCUGGGACCGGGACACGGCCCAGGCUCCCACGGGGAGCAGGAGGAGGGGAUUGUCGGGAAUGGGCCGAAGUCUUAACGAGCAACGGCGCCUGAGGGAAAAAGGUUUUCGGAUUGGAAAGCUCUGUUUGAUGGGGAGCGGUAUCUUACCAGAAAGGGACGGCUAACUACGUGCCAGCAGCCGCGGUAAUUC
rnacentral:rRNA from 1 species